rnacentral:rRNA from 1 species
AGCGGAAACGAGAAGGUGCUUGCACCUUCGGCGUCGAGCGGCGGACGGGUGAGUAAUGGCUGGGUACCUGCCCUGAUGUGGGGGGUAACAGUUGGAAACGACUGCUAAUACCGCAUAACGUCUACGGACCAAAGAGGGGGAUCUUCGGACCUCUCGCGUCAGGAUGGGCCCAGUUGGGAUUAGCUAGUUGGUGAGGUAACGGCUCACCAAGGCGACGAUCCCUAGCUGGUUUGAGAGGAUGAUCCGCCACACUGGAACUGAGACACGGUCCAGACUCCUACGGGAGGCAGCAGUGGGGAAUAUUGCACAAUGGGGGAAACCCUGAUGCAGCCAUGCCGCGUGUGUGAAGAAGGCCUUCGGGUUGUAAAGCACUUUCAGCUGUGAGGAAGGGUGAGUCGUUAAUAGCGGUUUAUCUUGACGUUAGCAGCAGAAGAAGCACCGGCUAACUCCGUGCCAGCAGCCGCGGUAAUACGGAGGGUGCGAGCGUUAAUCGGAAUUACUGGGCGUAAAGCGCAUGCAGGCGGUCUGUUAAGCAAGAUGUGAAAGCCCCGGGCUCAACCUGGGAAAGUCAUUUUGAACUGGCAGGCUAGAGUCUUGUAGAGGGGGGUAGAAUUUCAGGUGUAGCGGUGAAAUGCGUAGAGAUCUGAAGGAAUACCGGUGGCGAAGGCGG